CUCCGCCAAGGCAAUCUCGUGUCCCCGCAGCUGUUCGUCCUCGCCGUGGACACGCUCGGUCGCCUCCUCCGCCGUGCCACGGAGCUGGGCGUCCUACAGCGGCUGCACCCCCGGCGCCCGGUCUCCUCGGUCUCCCUCUACGUCGACGACGUGAUCCUAUUCUGCCAUCCCACCGUCGGCGACAUCACGGCCGUCAAGAGCAUCCUGCUCCUCUUCGGCCGAGCUUCAGGCCUCCUCGUCAACUACGCCAAAAGCUCCGCCACCUUGAUCCAAUGCGCCGCUGACGACAUCGCGCCCGCGGUCAACCUGCUGGGCUGCCCCCUCGCCGAGUUCCCGAUCACAUAUUUGGGCAUCCCCCUAACUCUGCAUCGCCCCACGGCCGCACAGCUACAG
rnacentral:rRNA from 1 species